rnacentral:tRNA from 1 species
AGGGCUGUAGCUCAGUGGCAGAGCACUUGCCUAGCAUGCAUGAGGCCCUGGGUUUGAUCCUCAGCACCACAU